GACGAACGCUGGCGGCGUGCUUAACACAUGCAAGUCGAACGAGGUCCAUGGUGCUUGCACCGGAAGACCUAGUGGCGAACGGGUGAGGAACACGUGAGAAACCUGCCCUGGACUCUGGGAUAACAGUUGGAAACGACUGCUAAUACCGGAUGCCGUCACCGAGUGGCAUCACUUGGUGACGAAAGAAUUUCGGUCCAGGAGGGUCUCGCGGCCUAUCAGCUAGUGGGUGGGGUAACGGCCUACCAAGGCAUCGACGGGUAGCUGGUCUGAGAGGAUGAUCAGCCACACUGGGACUGAGACACGGCGCAGACUACUACGGGAGGCAGCAGUGGGGAAUCUUGUGCAGUGGGCGAAAGCCUGACGCAGCAACGCAGCGUGCGGGAAGAAGGCCUGCGGGAAGCAAACCGCUUUGAGAAGGAACGAAAAUGACGCUACCUGCAGAAGAAGGUGCGGCCAACUACGUGCCAGCAGCCGCCGUAA
rnacentral:rRNA from 1 species